UACGGGGGGGGCAAGCGUUGUUCGGAAUUACUGGGCGUAAAGGGCUCGUAGGCGGCCAACUAAGUCAUACGUGAAAUCCCUCGGCUUAACCGGGGAACUGCGUCUGAUACUGGAUGGCUGGAGUGUGGGAGAGGGAUGCGGAAUUCCAGGUGUAGCGGUGAAAUGCGUAGAUAUCUGGAGGAACACCGGUGGCGAAGGCGGCAUCCUGGACCAUUACUGACACUGAAAAGCGAAAGCCAGGGGAGCAAACGGG
rnacentral:rRNA from 1 species